GAGGAGAGGAGCUGGUCCUAGUCCUGCUUCAGGGGUGGAGAGGACCUGCAGGGACCAGCCUGGAUCUGGAGGACCUUUCCUGAGAUGCCUGGACAGUCAGGAUGUUCUCCCCUCUAGAACAAUUCUUUUCUGCUUUUGAGGACUCUCCCUCACUGACAUCAUCCUUCAGAGGAGAUGAAAGCACCGUGGUGCUGAACCCUCAUCCAGCCCCCAGCCCCUUCGGUUUGGGAGUCCAAGUCAGUCUACGCAUGGGGUAAGUUUGCAACUCAAGUUAUUUCCAACUGGAAAUUUAGCCUCUUCUCUGCAGCUUCCUUCUGACUGGACAGUGGGAGUCAGAAAUUUCCUUCUGCUGGUUUCCCCAGAGCCAUCCUUGCCCUCUCCUCCUCCUCCC
rnacentral:lncRNA from 1 species